UGUAUUCAUAUUUUAUUAUCAGGUGAGAGUCCAAAUUAAGAUGCUAAUCCAAGAAGAGGGAUAGCAAUGUGGUUUGGGCAACCAGUGAUGAUGAUACAGAGAUUGAAGUUGUUCGGUGUGAACAAGACAAUGAUCAGAUAGAUGUUAAAAAACAUAAAAGGAUGGUUUCGAACAGAGAUUCUGCUAGGCGGUCAAGAAAAACAAAACAAGCACAUUUAACAUGUCUUGGGCAACAAGUGCCUGCUUAUUAACAAUGUUUAUAUACAUAUAUCCUUAAAUUUAUAGAACUACACCAAAAUAUCUGUUAACCAAACAUGUGUUUCUGGUGGAACUACUGCAAGUAGAGUGUUCAGAUUUGUUCAACAACACACGAGUGCGAGCCUCAACAAACUGUUAGAAUUGGAUACCAAAGAACGUAUUGAAUCAAAACUUGUUUAUU
rnacentral:lncRNA from 1 species